rnacentral:rRNA from 1 species
UAUAGAUGGAUCCGCGCUGCAUUAGCUAGUUGGUAAGGUAACGGCUUACCAAGGCAACGAUGCAUAGCCGACCUGAGAGGGUGAUCGGCCACACUGGAACUGAGACACGGUCCAGACUCCUACGGGAGGCAGCAGUAGGGAAUCUUCCGCAAUGGGCGAAAGCCUGACGGAGCAACGCCGCGUGAGUGAUGAAGGUCUUCGGAUCGUAAAACUCUGUUAUUAGGGAAGAACAUAUGUGUAAGUAACUGUGCACAUCUUGACGGUACCUAAUCAGAAAGCCACGGCUAACUACGUGCCAGCAGCCGCGGUAAUACGUAGGUGGCAAGCGUUAUCCGGAAUUAUUGGGCGUAAAGCGCGCGUAGGCGGUUUUUUAAGUCUGAUGUGAAAGCCCACGGCUCAACCGUGGAGGGUCAUU